CCCUAAGCUAAACCAAAUGGGGAUUUAACUUCCAUAGUACCACCUAUAAAAGAUUAUGUUGGUUUUAUUAAACAGAAAUAUGAGUGGAGAAGCACCACAAAAACCUGCUCCUCGCUUGAAUGAGAGGAUUCUUUCAUCCAUGUCGAGGAGGUCAGUUGCUGCUCAUCCUUGGCACGAUCUUGAGAUAGGACCUGGAGCUCCUCAGAUUGUCAACUGUGUACGUUAUCACAACUCUUAAGCUUGUUCAUGAGUUUAUUUGUUGCUAUCUACCAAAGUUCAAAGCAAUUUUGCAAAAAAACUAGUAUGUUGAGCAACAAGACUGAAAACUCAAUACACGCUCACAAGGCUUUACUAUUUACUGUUCAAUAUAAAGGAAAAUCCUCGAUCCAUUUCUCCCAAUGUCAUAAUAUGCUAGAAUAUUGUUUGGCUUUCCGAACUCCAUUACAGCAUGCCUCAUUGAGCACCAUUAAUACAUUUUUUCUUUUCUCAUGAUUUCUUAUCUGAUUGGGUGAAGACAGCCUUUGUAACUGGUUAAAAAGUAACAGUAUGUUUCAGGUUCCAUGAUUAUCUCUGCCUUCGCCAUUGACAUUUAACAGAGAAAAUUAAUUAUGAAUCAAAUUCACUAUUGCUGUUUUAUUCCAAUGUUGCUCGUUAACUGUCUAAUUCUGAUAUUGUGAAUGGUAGACCAAAUUGAUUGCUUUUGUUGUCUGAAUACACUGACAUCAAAGAGCUUCCUCCUCAUCGACUAGCUGUGAUUCGUCGCUUUUUUGAAGACUACAAGAAGAAUGAGAACAAAGAGGUUGCAGUUAAUGAUUUUUUGCCUUCAGCUACAGCUCAUGAAGCUAUCCAGCACUCCAUGGUUUGAAAAGGAAAUGUUUACAAGGACGAAUGAGAAACAGGCUAUGGAAAGAGAAGCGUAUCUUUGGUCUGUCUCAGAUAUGUGAAGUGUACACCAAAGAAAACGACACAAACUUUAUUUUACUGCUUAGAAAGUGCAAGGAGGGACUAGUCAGUUUGUUAAAGGGAUCUUCAAAUGCAGCAAUGCUUACACCAACCAGAUCUGGAUUUCAGUUUCCUUGAGAUGAAUCCCUUUACCUUGGUGAAUGGAGAGCCAUACCCAUUAGAUAUGA